AAAUGCGAUAAGUAAUGUGCAUUGCAGAAUUCAGUGAAUCAUCGAAUCUUUGAACGCACAUUGCGCCCGCCAGUAUUCUGGCGGGCAUGCCUGUCCGAGCGUCAUUUCAACCAUCAAGCCCCCGGGCUUGUGUUGGGGACCUGCGGCUGCCCACAGGCCCUGAAAACCAGUGGCGGGCUCGCUGUCACACCGAGCGUAGUAGCAAUCACCUCGCUCAGGGCGUGCUGCGGGUUCCGGCCGUUAAACAGCCUUACAAAACCCAAGGUUGACCUCGGAUCAGGUAGGAAGACCCGCUGAACUUAAGC
rnacentral:misc_RNA from 1 species